CGCUGGCGGCGUGCCUAACACAUGCAAGUCGAGCGAGGAGAUCCUUCGGGAUGAUCCUAGCGGCGGACGGGUGAGUAACACGUGGGCAACCUGCCUCAUAGAGAGGAAUAGCCUUCCGAAAGGGAGAUUAAUACCUCAUAACAUUGCAGUUUCGCAUGAAACAGCAAUUAAAGGAGCAAUCCGCUAUGAGAUGGGCCCGCGGCGCAUUAGCUAGUUGGUGAGGUAACGGCUCACCAAGGCGACGAUGCGUAGCCGACCUGAGAGGGUGAUCGGCCACAUUGGGACUGAGACACGGCCCAGACUCCUACGGGAGGCAGCAGUGGGGAAUAUUGCACAAUGGGGGGAAACCCUGAUGCAAGCAACGCCGCGUGAGUGAUGACGGCCUUCGGGUUGUAAAGCUCUGUCUUCAGGGACGAUAAUGACGGUACCUGAGGAGGAAGCCACGGCUAACUACGUGCCAGCAGCGGC
rnacentral:rRNA from 1 species